AGAUAUGUUAUAUAAGCGAUCUAAGCAAAGUACUAGGAGAAUAACGAAACAUAUUUUUAGGAAAACAGUUAAAAAAAUCUGGUUUUGAAGGCGAGUGACGUAAUAUGGAAAAACUGAAAAAAAACGGUAGUCCCGAUGUACAUAAUCAAUGAAUGUGGUAAAGAUCAUUAUAUAUAAAAAAAUCGUUAUAUUAAAACACUACUCAUGGAGCUAUACCGAAAAAAUACCAACCUGGUCUGUAUACUGCAAGUAGUAUUGAAUGUUAAGUGUUCAAUAUAAAAAGGAUUCUUUUUAGUUUGUUUUUUAUAAACGAAUGGACUAUGGCAAGAGUUGUGACAUAACUAAGAAACUUUCUUAAACAACUAUGUAUUGCUGAUUUAGGAUGCGGGUGUAAACGACGGAUGAUACAGGAACUUAUCGCAAUGUUAUAUAAAAAGUACAUUCAUGAUUAAGGAGUAGCAAUUAUGUAGUUAUCAAAUAAACAUAAGAACCGUA
rnacentral:lncRNA from 1 species